UCACUGCCCCUCAGGGGGCAGGGGGCUGGUGAUUCCUGAGGGAGCCCUGCCCCCUUCCAGGGUGAAUUGUCCUAAGUCACCAUGGAGAACCAGCAGCCCAGAAUCAGUGCCCUGCCAGGCAGAAUUGCUUGGCCAUAACAAAGAUCCAUUGCCUUUCUGAUGACACCCAGCACCUCGGAUUCUGUAUACACGGGAGGUGAUUUAAGCAUCUUACUGCCACCCUGAAAUCUGGGGUCCUUUAUCCUGGCAGCAUCUAGACCCGUAACGCCCACUUCAGAAUGGGAGGGAGGAUGUCUGCUGCCCUGUCGUCUCCACACCCGAGGAAUGUCCGUGUGUGUGAUGUGCAGAGCAGGCUGCACACAGCGGGCUCCACGGUGCUCGAAUGGAGGCCCUAAUGUGAAUGGAGACUAGCCUGCUGGUAGAGACCUUGGCAGUGACCGCCGUGAGCAAUGAGCCAUGGGCCAACAAUAUUCAAUGCUGUGUACCUGAUGGAUGGUUACUGUCUGAGACUGAGGUUUUUUGGGCCAGGAGUAAAAGGACUUGGUUUGUACUUGAUUGCAUCCUGUGGAUGCUUGCCUACCAACUGACUCAUCCCGACGUGCCAAAGGUCCUGGCUUUCCCCUGUGUGGGUAAGGGGAGAAGAGAGUUCUAAUGAGCGUGGCUGGCAUCGCUUCAUGAUUACAUUCUGGGAAAGAUCUUGCCUGUUAACCGCUAGAGAAGGAGGGACGAUGCAGACAAUGGACUCACAAUUGCUGAUGUAUAGGUUCUAAUGUUUUCUAUUGUGGACACGGGACACCCAGACUGAGGUUCGUGGAUUUUUGAAAUUUCUAAUAAUAAGAUAUUUGUGACUUAAUUUUGAGUGGAUGAA
rnacentral:lncRNA from 1 species